rnacentral:rRNA from 1 species
GAGUAACGGAGGAGCACGAAGGUUGGCUAAUCCUGGUCGGACAUCAGGAGGUUAGUGCAAUGGCAUAAGCCAGCUUGACUGCGAGCGUGACGGCGCGAGCAGGUGCGAAAGCAGGUCAUAGUGAUCCGGUGGUUCUGAAUGGAAGGGCCAUCGCUCAACGGAUAAAAGGUACUCCGGGGAUAACAGGCUGAUACCGCCCAAGAGUUCAUAUCGACGGCGGUGUUUGGCACCUCGAUGUCGGCUCAUCACAUCCUGGGGCUGAAGUAGGUCCCAAGGGUAUGGCUGUUCGCCAUUUAAAGUGGUACGCGAGCUGGGUUUAGAACGUCGUGAGACAGUUCGGUCCCUAUCUGCCGUGGGCGCUGGAGAACUGAGGGGGGCUGCUCCUAGUACGAGAGGACCGGAGUGGACGCAUCACUGGUGUUCGGGUUGUCAUGCCAAUGGCACUGCCCGGUAGCUAAAUGCGGAAGAGAUAAGUGCUGAAAGCAUCUAAGCACGAAACUUGCCCCGAGAUGAGUUCUCCCUGAGACUUUAGGUCUCCUGAAGGAACGUUGAAGACGACGACGUUGAUAGGCCGGGUGUGUAAGCGCAGCGAUGCGUUGAGCUAACCGGUACUAAUGAACCGUGAGGCUUAACCUU